UAGGGAAUAUUGCUUAAUGGGCGAAAGCCUGAAGCAGCAACGCCGCGUGAACGAAGAAGGCCUUCGGGUCGUAAAGUUCUUUUACGUGGGAUGAGGAAGGACAGUACCACGAGAAUAAGUCUCGGCUAACUACGUGCCAGCAGCCGCGGUAAAACGUAGGAGACGAGCGUUAUCCGGAUUUACUGGGCGUAAAGCGCGUGUAGGAGGCGCUACAAGUUGGAUGUGAAAGCUCCCGGCUUAACUGGGAGAGGUCGUUCAAGACUGUAGGGCUAGAGUGAGGCAGAGGUAGAUGGAACUCCGGGAGUAGUGGUGAAAUGCGUAGAUAUCCGGAAGAACACCAGAGGCGAAAGCGAUCUACUGGGCCUAAACUGACACUGAGACGCGAAAGCCAGGGUAGCAAGCG
rnacentral:rRNA from 1 species